GAGAGGUCCGCCUGCCUGUGACCACGUGUUUAACGGCCGCGGUAUUUUGACCGUGCAAAGGUAGCGCAAUCACUUGUCUUUUAAAUGGAGACCUGUAUGAAUGGCACGACGAGGGCUUAACUGUCUCCUUUUUCCAGUCAAUGAAAUUGAUCUCCCCGUGCAGAAGCGGGGAUAAAACCAUAAGACGAGAAGACCCUGUGGAGCUUUAGACACUAAGCCAGACUUUGUUAAGCACCCCUUUCAAAGGACUAAACUAAUUGCAACCUGGCCUGAUGUCUUUGGUUGGGGCGACCUCGGGGAAACAAAAAACCCCCGCGUGGAAUGGAAGAACUCCUCUUCUAGAACCAAGAGCUACCGCUCAAAUUGACAGAAUAUCUGACCAAUUACAGAUCCGGCUUUAACGCCGAUCAACGGACCGAGUUACCCCAGGGAUAACAGCGCAAUCCUCUUUUAGAGCCCAUAUCGACAAGAGGGUUUACGACCUCGAUGUUGGAUCAGGACAUCCUAAUGGUGCAGCCGCUAUUAAGGGUUCGUUUGUUCAACGAUUAAAGUCCUACGUGAUCUG
rnacentral:rRNA from 1 species